GCCUUGAAACACCGGUACCCGUACUAUCAACGAAGUUAAGCAAAGUCGAGCCUGGUCAGUAACUAGAUGGGUGACCACUUUGGAAUACCAGCUGCUGUAA